ensembl:misc_RNA 7SK 7SK RNA
GAGUGUGAGAGAGAUCUGGUUGUGAAAUCUGUCACCCCAUUGAUCUCUAGGGUUGACGCGGCUGAGCUGGCUUCUUAGGCGAGCGUUCCCUUCCUCCCUCACUGCUCCAUAUGCAUCCCCAACCCAAAGAUGCUCACUCGGUUGAAGAGGAUGAACAUCCCCACCAGAGGAGGACUGUUCUUCAGUAGAGAGUUUAUGAGCCACACGCACCCCUGCUAGAACUUCCCAACAAGUCCUCUCAAGAAAUCUAACUGCUCCAAGACCACCAUGCUGGAGAGGUCAUGGGGAGGGCUCAGGUCAACUGUUCCAGCUGAGCCCAGUCUUCUC